rnacentral:rRNA from 1 species
CCUUCGGGUUAGUGGCGGACGGGUGAGUAACGCGUGAGAAUCUGCCCUCAGGAGGGGGAUAACGGCUGGAAACGGCCGCUAAUACCCCAUAUGCCGAGAGGUGAAAUGAAUUUCGCCUGAGGAUGAGCUCGCGUCUGAUUAGCUAGUUGGUGGGGUAAGAGCCUACCAAGGCUUCGAUCAGUAGCUGGUCUGAGAGGAUGAUCAGCCACACUGGGACUGAGACACGGCCCAGACUCCUACGGGAGGCAGCAGUGGGGAAUUUUCCGCAAUGGGCGAAAGCCUGACGGAGCAACGCCGCGUGAGGGAUGAAGGCCUCUGGGCUGUAAACCUCUUUUCUCAAGGAAGAAGAUCUGACGGUACUUGAGGAAUAAGCCACGGCUAAUUCCGUGCCAGCAGCCGCGGUAAUACGGGAGUGGCAAGCGUUAUCCGGAAUUAUUGGGCGUAAAGCGUCCGCAGGCGGCCUCGUAAGUCUGUCGUUAAAGCGUGGAGCUUAACUCCAUUUCAGCGAUGGAAACUGCGAGGCUAGAGUGUGGUAGGGGCAGAGGGAAUUCCCGGUGUAGCGGUGAAAUGCGUAGAUAUCGGGAAGAACACCAGUGGCGAAGGCGCUCUGCUGGGCCAUAACUGACGCUCAUGGACGAAAGCCAGGGGAGCGAAAGGGAUUAGAUACCCCUGUAGUCCUGGCCGUAAACGAUGAACACUAGGUGUCGGGGGAAUCGACCCCCUCGGUGUCGUAGCCAACGCGUUAAGUGUUCCG